GAGGAAGAGAAGCUUGCUUCUUGAAUCUAGUGGCAAACGGGUGAGUAACACGUAAACACCUGCCUUCAGGAUGGGGACAACAGACGGAAACGACUGCUAAUACCGAAUGUGACCGCAUGAUGAAAGAUGGCCUUUUAAGCUAUCGCCUGAAGAGGGGUUUGCGUCUGAUUAGGCAGUUGGUGAGGUAACGGCCCACCAAACCUACGAUCAGUAGCCGGUCUGAGAGGAUGAACGGCCACACUGGAACUGAGACACGGUCCAGACUCCUACGGGAGGCAGCAGUGGGGAAUCUUCCGCAAUGGACGAAAGUCUGACGGAGCAACGCCGCGUGAGUGAUGACGGCCUUCGGGUUGUAAAGCUCUGUGAUCGGGGACGAUGCUGGUAGCUAAUACCAUUCAGAGUGACGGUACCCGAAUAGCAAGCCACGGCUAACUACGUGCCAGCAGCCGCGGUAAUACGUAGGUGGCAAGCGUUGUCCGGAAUUAUUGGGCGUAAAGCGCGCGCAGGCGGUUCCUAAGUCCAUCUUAAAAGUGCGGGGCUUAACCCCGUGAUGGGAUGGAAACUGGGAGCUGGAGUAUCGGAGAGGAAAGUGGAAUUCCUAGUGUAG
rnacentral:rRNA from 1 species